UCCCUGGUGGUCCAGUGGUUAAGACUCUGCACUUCCAGUGCAGGGGCCAUGGGUUUGAUCCCUGAUUGGGGAA
rnacentral:tRNA from 1 species